AGGCCAAAGGGCUUGGGGUGAGGAGGUUUAAGGCCUUGCUUGAGCAAGGACAGGGGACCGCGUGUUCGCCCCUGGCAGCCCUCGGGGCCUGAGCCACACUUGCUUCCUCGCGUGGCCCACGAGCAACAGGCUCUGAGGUCGGGGCUCCCCAGGCGCCGGGGCUCCUCCUGCCCGCGGUGCUCGCGUGCGUCAGGGCCGGCGCCUCCCGCCCGUGCGUGCUGUGCAGCCUGCCCAAGCUGUGGACUUGAAAUAAAAUCAACUGUUGGGUCAGGUCCAGGAUCUCCUUGUACAAAACAGACUCCCUCUGGCUCGAUGAACAUGUGUCUGAAAAAAAUUAAAAGGAGUGCAGCCCAUCACUGCACCAUCAUCGGUUUGGGGAAAAAAGACGAGGGAACAACACUGAGAGAGAAUGUUCCUUCUGAGAAAUAGAUCUCGAUGAAGUUCAGAGCAGGCUCCUUCAGCAAGAAGAUUGUCUGUUCACCGCUUGACUGCAGCAACCAUCAACUGAACUAGAAUUUGACCGCGUAGUGAUUUAUACCACUUGCCUUCGUGUGGUCCGGACAACCUUCGAAAGAUGUGAGCUGGUUAGAAAGAUCUUCCAAAACCAUCGAGUAAAAUUUGAAGAGAAAAACAUAGCUCUGAACGGUGACUAUGGAAAAGAGUUAGACGAACGGUGCCGACGGGUUUCCGAAGCUCCCUCCCUCCCUGUUGUGUUCAUCGAUGGCCAUUAUCUUGGGGGUGCUGAGAAAAUUUUGUCAAUGAAUGAAUCAGGAGAACUGCAAGACCUCUUAACCAAAAUUGAGAGGGUACAGCAUCCACAUGAGUGUCCCUCCUGUGGCGGCUUCGGCUUCCUUCCAUGCGCCGUCUGCCACGGGAGCAAGAUGUCAGUGUUUCGAAACUGCUUUACAGACUCUUUCAAGGCCCUGAAGUGCACGGCUUGCAACGAGAAUGGCCUUCAGCGCUGUAAGAGCUGCGCUGGUUAGACAGAGCCGCCACGCAGGCGUGCCUCGUUUCAUCGAAUGACAGCAAUAAUGUGAUUUGUACUUUUUUUUUAAAUGGUUCUGUUUCUGGAUUAAUCAAUAAACUUUGUUUAUUAUAAUUUCCUCUGGAAUUUUUGCUGUGACCACUUUCAUUGAUUUAUUAAAUAAAUGUUUAUUCAGCAGGUACAAUGUGCCAAGCCCUGUGCCAGGCCCUGGUUUCU